GUAAACACAAGCACUCGACAUUGAUUCAUUGGAUAGAAUAGAUUUUCUUGUAAAUCAUCCACGUGCUCUGUGAAUUUGCACCUAGUCAGACAGACUCAUUUCCUCUUUCCUAAAACAGCUUAACAUCAUUUAUUACUGUAUGUUGCUACUGGGGGUGAACUGGGCACGCCCUGCGUGUAAUAACUUCCUAGUCGGUGAUGACUGCGGUAGGAAACGUCCGUGGGAAACAAGGACAGGAGGAUGAGGAAACGCGCCGUCCGGCCUCUCCUCCGCCAGGAACCUAUUUUAGGACGAGGUGUUAAGUGGGUGAUGGUCGCACUAAGGUUGUGGUCACUGAAAGUCACGUGUGCUGUGGGAGAGAGGACAACGCUGACAGAUGUUAAUGCUCCCUCAGAAUGAAAGGCGAUAGAAUCCAUCGGAGCAAUGCAACAGACUGCUGGGAUGUUAGGAGUCCACCUGUUUCAAAGUCAUCACGCUUAGAGAAACAAACAGCAUCAUCAUCAUCAUCAGCGAUCAUCAGUGAUGGUAGGCAUGAGAUGAAGGACAAGAGAGAUAAUGGGGAGAAAGUAAAGGUGUGGGAGCAGCCAUGUCAAAACUACGUCUGAUGGGAAGAUGAUGUAUGAAAUCCGGCGAUGAGAGACCGGUCGUUUGGUUUUCAGUUCUCUGGAGAGAAAAACAUCUGAGAUUUCAACACCCAGUGUAAAAGGCAGUAAAACUCCCAGCUAAUCUUUUCCCCAGCACUUUUUGCUAUUGUGACGACUUGCCCGUCAGGCACAAGCCAUCGGAUGACAAAUUGGCCUGAACAGACGCAGUGUCUAAUAUUUCUAUUGCACGCUUUAAUCCAGCCAUUAUGCUCCCAGACCCUCCACAGCCACUGCAGAUGCACCCGAGCCUGUGCUGUGGCUGGGCGUGUGGGACAGUAGCUGUUCUGGACAGGGGAAAAUGACAAACUGCCGUUUCCCACGAGAGAGACACUUCUGAGAAGAGGCUGUGGGACCGAACUCGGCCUCUCGCUGACAACAGAGUCAUCUGGAAUCCGCAUCAAGAUUGUGGGACGCGACGAACAAAAGCGCACGAACCGUCGCAGAUCGUGGCGUUUUGGACUUUCCGACCCAAAUACAGCACCUCGUCGGGUUUUCGGGCUCGGUGGAUCGCGACUGUCGCAUAUCAGCUGGGAAUGACUCUUAAAAUCUUUCCCAUGUGCAGUGGACGACUGAUGCUGAGCCGACAUGCUAAUGCUGUCUGCUGAUUUGUGCACAGAAGUCCCCCCCCCCCCACAUACAGUACUGUAUAUAUCCAACAGCUACUGUAAUGGUCAGUAACGUGCACGAUCCGAGGGUGUUGAUUUGUUUCGGGCUCGUGCUUUGUGCCUUUUGAUUCAUCUUGGCUGAAACCACACUUCUAGUGAGGGCCCUGUCAUAACACUGUUAAAUCACCUCCAUUUAUAGACAUUUAUGCCCUCUCCAGCUUUAUGCUAACCAUCCUUAUAUGUUCAGUUCAACAUUUAUAAAGUAAAGACAUUUGUUGAAGCUCUCGUCUUAAUCAGGGCUAAAAUUAGAAAUUGAUAAGCCGCGGAGCAUGAGUAAUACAUCGUCUUUAUAUAGAUAGUGGGAAAGGAAAGAGAGAGGGAGAGACAAAGUAGUGGGACUCAGUCCCAGGCCAGUGGGAGAACAUGUGGCCCUGAACCAGUGGGAACAAACGUCCAGGAGAACUGCUGCUGAUUAGACACAAAAUGCUUAGAACACUCUCAACACCCAACUGAGCAUUUUUAAUGUGUUUCCGCUCCUCUGGAAAGUGCACGCUCCGACUGGCCCUGAACGCAACGUACCGUAUACAAGGAUAUACUGUACGGGCAAGAGUCCGGUGACUUCAGGGACGUUGCGCUCGCACGCCACCGUUGAGCAGCAGCCUUCGGGACUCUUCUGUGAAGCUCCUCUUUGUUGACGCGCUUAGUUUGGCGUUAAAUGGCUGGAUACCAAACGUUUCAUUGUUCCGAGGCCGCCGUUAAUAAAGGGGGCCUAAGUUUUAAGUGCACGCUGCUUUUGGCUAGUCCAGAUCGUGUUAUGUAACUGGGGCUUCAAUAGAGAAAGUCUUUCAUGCACACGUAUAUAGAGGCCACUGUGAGUAGUUGAGGUGAUCUGAGGCCUACUGAAAGACUGUCGAUUGUUGACAGAACCCUAUCAGCAUUCAUUUGGAGUCACGUGUCCAAUAUUCACCAGUUUAUUAAUGAUUUGCUCUUUGACUGGGAUGGAGACAGUUGGCUUUUGGUGUCCUGCUGCGUAACUUAACUGAUAGUAAUUAUUGACAUAAAAGCUGGUCUGUGUUCAGGAGAAAGUCUCGGCUGUUACAAUAAGACUCUGUUGCCGGCCCUUCGUGAACCUCGUGAGGAGCGCGUAGCCACGGUACGGAUUUCAUAACAGCUGUUUGCAUACGUCACUCCCUGAAUCUACACAUCGUUGCUUUGACAGUCAGCCCCCAAUAAAGCACGGGUCGGGGGAACAAAAGCAGGAAACAGAAGGGUGAGAUUCACCAAAGCUUCUCAGAACUUUUCUUGGGCGAAGUCAAGCCCGCGGCCACACAUCUGUUCACCGACGAGGACUCGAUCACCCUGAUGGGAUGACCGGCGCGUUCCAUCUCGUUCUCUCUCAGGUGAUAAAAUGGUGUAAUAUCUCUUUAGUUUAGUACCUACGUUCAGUGUCGCGCCAUCUUCACCCAACGCAGGCUUCGCAAAUCAUUCAGAGGCCUCUGCUCUGCCUGGUCGAUACUCACGGAAGUAACGGUUAUGUAAUGAGAAGUGCAAUGAGAAGCAUCUUUCAUGACCGCUGUGCUGUCCCUAGGCUGCUAUCACACUAAGAACCCAUUUACACUUGACUAGAACAAAAGGGUCAUCAGACACAGAUACAGAUUCUACUGAUGUCUUAUAUAUAUAUAUAUUGUCCAUGAAAGCAAAUUCAGAUUCCAAAUAUAAUGAUGUGAGCUGGUUCGUGAGCCUCGCCGUCGUCCGACCACCCGGUUCCGGCCCUCGCUCUUUUUCUGGGCCCAAAACAUUUGAACUGUCCGCUAAUAUGCUGCCAUGCACCUCGGCAUGACGCCAGGGAAUGUUGAACUACAUUAAGGCCGUGAUUGUGAAAUUACAAUCUAGGAGGAUGUUCUACAGUGAUUUGCAAGCCUCUGCUUGGGUAGGUGAAUAUCUGCGAAGCAGGAGACUCCCCCUCCGCUUGAAGUGUCUCUUUUUGUGAAAAGAAAAGUUACCUUGUGCCUCUUUCACAGUUUAGGAGCCGAAGGAAACAAAACGCUCGCUGUUCAUCUCUUCAGAAUGGCUCUGAGCAGAUGAUCAACCUGCCUUGAGACAGAAACAUUCACUAAUAAAGGUUUAUGUAAGUCCUUUUUCUAUUACAAAUAAACAGUUAUGAUAGUGUAUGACAGUGUUAUAAACAAUUUUAGGUCAAGAGAAGGUAAAUCAGGAAGUGCUACCAUCACAGUGCUAAAUAGAUAUUAAGAUCCUGCUUCAGCUUUUAAUUUCACCUCAGUGCACUUUUUGUUUCCAAAUUCAGACAUAUGUUUUAUAUUUGAUGAUGAGACGAGGCUCAGAACAGGGUGCGGGGCUCCUGUCCCCGUAAUGGUGCCGCGUCCUUCUGCUGUUGUCGUGACGAUGCACAGGAUGCUCGCAGAGUAAUCCACCGGGGGGAAGUAGAGAUGAGUGUUAAUCACCGCUCAUCUGACAGAUUACACACCCAGACGCUCCACAUGCAUGUGUUUAUCGCACAUUAAUAAAUUCUGCUUCACUAAAGUGUAUAAGAUAAGCUUUUAAAAUGCACGUGCCCCUGAGCUCUAUACGAUUCUCAGCAAACAGCUGACGGAAACUCAAAUCAGACACUUCUUCGGCACGUGAGCGCACACUGGAACGUCUGUUUCUCUCCGGGUGAACGCAGACAUAAUCCGGAGGUCAUAAUCUAGCAGAGAGGUGGCGGAGUGAGCCCUUAAUCCUCCUACGGCAUCAUCACGGGGGGGAAGCUCCCGCCAUCGUUAACCACCCCCCCUCCACCCCCCCAACUGGAGGGAACACAUCCGUUUGGGCUUUGCGCUAACCCUUAUAAUGUGAUGAAGGGGGAAGCGUGGUGAAAUGAACAGUGUGAGAGAAGACAAAGUGCAUGUAGACGGAUCUGGAUCCGCCGAUUGGAUUCAUCUCCUGAACAACAGACAUUCAUUCAUGAAGUGGUCUGCGCGUCACCACAGUGUCCUCUAGCACUUGUCCCGGUGGAAGCCUGUCCAACGUGACGUCAGAACAUCUGGACCCCUACGGGCUCCUUCUUCCCUGUUUACUACUGUAUGUGAACAUAUGUUUCCUUAAACGCACCUCCCUGAGUCUAAAGACUUCCUCAUCCAUCAGUUUUGAAGCAUAUGAAGCUGUUGAACUAAAAUGCAUCUUAUUUUUCUCCAUGCACCUUCCUUAUAGUUCAGCCCUGGGAGGGCACUGGACACUCGGUGGAGCUGCAGCUGUGCUAAUUUAAUGUCAGUGCAUGAUGAUUCCUCAGUCGAGGCGCUGGUUGAGAUGAGAUAGCGCCUGGUGAUGGUGCGUCUUGAUACCGCGGGCGGAGUUUGACGUGCUUGCGAGACUUGCGGAGGACAGAGGAUGUUAUAUAAUAAAGGUUUCAGUCGCUCGUAAAGAGAGUUCUGUGGAAUGCCUUUUUUUUAAGGCCUUGUGGUCGUACCGGCUGAUAAAACUGUUUUAGGUGCGGUAGAUAAUGGUCCCCUUAAGAGAGAGCUUUGGACCAGACUUGAGAGUUGUUAGGAACAGAGGCGGCUUUUGUAGAUUGAGGGGGGUGGGGGUUCCAUUAGUGUCAAAUAUAUUUAAAGCUUUAAAGUCGCUGGCAAAUUAUAAAGCCACAAACCGGACAACGGUUCUGUUGGUCUGUGAGCGUGAUCAUCCCGCUAAUGAUCAGGUCGCCAUGGAGACGGCCUCAGGAGCCGGCGGGGUUCUCACGGUGAAGCCUCGCGGUCCAGACGGUGAUCGGGCCCCGCGCCGACUUUACCCCGAACGACAGCAGCCAUCAGCUCAGCGUCAUGUGAACGCAACAGCCUUCGACCCCUUCUGACGGCGGCGAACAUAAACUAUUCAGAAAGGUGAUGAGAUUCGGCGACCUUUUUCUUAUUAUAGCGCACUCCCGUCUUCAUCUAACUUUAACUCCCUGCCAUGUUCGCAUCGGCUUUAUUUACUGCUCCAUAAUCCUAAAGGCCCCGUUAUGGAAAAAUAACUUUUUCGGGCUUCUACACAGACACACGAAUAAUGGAUUGUAAUUUAUUUUCCUAAAUUUGUUUAGGUCUGUGAAGGGAAGCGUAGAGAGUCCUUUAAGUAUUUCUGCUGGAAGACGUUCAAGUAUUUGUGAGUGAUUACUCCUGAAUGGGAACAAGCAGCCGCCUCCUCCUCCUCCUCCUCCUCCUGUUGAGCGUGAUUUGGGGGGAAACGCCCUCGUGGCUCCUGCUGCAUUUCAGCCAUUCGGCCGCUUACCGUCAUCACACACGGCGUCCUCACCCACAGGGACAGCAUGAUCUAACGCUAAUUAAAUAAGCGCUCAAUCUGGAGGUGGAUAAUGGAGAAGAGGAAGAGCAGACGGCAGAUAAUGAAACAACAUCAUUGAUUUAAUCCAAAUGUUGAGAAAUGGAGUAUGGAACGAUGUAGAACAAAGGAGACACUGGACAUUAGGACGGCUUGGUCACGGUACCGCUGGAGUUCUGGCCAUCUCCUCGUCUCUAUCCUUUCACCCGCGUCCGUGUUUGUGUAUCUCUCUCCAUCUGCCUGUUGUUGUUUUCCGUUUUCCAGAUGUGUGCUUGAACCGCGCCUGUUUAGGUUUUGUUCUUCUUCCAGGUUGUCACAGCGCAGACGGGGAUCAGAUGAGCGACCUGAACCCGAUUGGACUCGUAAUAAAAUUAUCAAAGCCUUCAUCGAAUCCACGACAAGCCGCACAAAUUUGGAGGGUUGGAACAACAAACAUGAUACUCAGGGAUUGCGGGAGACCUUGGAGGAGCGGUGACAGGUUUAAAAGGAGCCAUAAACUUAACUUAGGAUUUAAAGUGAGGCCCUGGCAAAUUUGCAGUCACAGGAUGAAGAGGUCAGAGCCAGAAACGGGCCUGCUGUAAAUCUGUGGCUUUGUUUGUUGCGUUUGAUGGAUGGUACGCACAUGUUUAGAGGAGUGUUGCACGCUGGCUUCAUACACAACACUGAGAGCAGCUUUUUACAUAACUGACAACAUCUGCACGGACAUGAAUGAUUAUAAAGACGUGACUUUGACAUUGCCUCAGUGACUGCUGAUGCAACCGAUAGCGGUUAUCUCCUCGUCUCAAGGUUGUUACCAGCUACACACUUGAUCAUGUGGUCAGCGUCACGAUUAUAAGAGUCUGAUAUUCGUGGUGUUGUUGUAAUUUACAGGCAGAGCAGUGUCUGACUUUCUGGAGACGCGCCUCUGAAUCAGCCACAAUGAUCUAAAGAUUGCUUACAGGGAAUCUGAUGCCAAGAUAAAGUCAGAUGUUUCCACUUUAUAUUUAGCUAUUAUGAUGUGUAUAGUGCAGUUGUCCACCAGGUGGCGUGAUUGUAGUACAGUUGGACCAUCAGAAGAGCAGAGGGGAGGUCAAAUGGGUUCAUACUGCUACAGCCGCAGCACUUCCACCACCCUGUGGUUUUAAUGGCGGCUCUAGAGCAGCUGUCGGAAAUCCGCAGUUCAGACGCACGAGCUGCAGAUCGUUCCUACACUGGCCUGAAACGUGUCUCCAUUCGGUCUCUGUCCAGUAGAGGGUGCACACGGCCUUCACGUCAAACGGUCCGUUUCAGAGGAAACCAUGCAUCACAUGGGCCUCUCACUGACUCAUCGGUGCGGUCAGUCACGCUGAGUCAUGCUGGGAGUCAUUCCCGAGCCCUUGCACCUGACGUGAUUUCAUCUUCCGCCUGUCGGGGAACGCGCCGUGAGGAUUUCAGCGCAGAUCAAACAGUGUUAUGGAUCUAGCAGGACACGCACCAACACACUCCCACAGAUGAUCAAAGCCACGCAUUAAAAAUGUCUUGAAUUAAGCAAGAACCUGCCUCCACUCUGGACUUCAUGGCUCCACUGCCACGAUGAUAUCCCAGGAUGCCUUUCUGUCCAUUCCAUGACCACCUUGCAGUCAUCGCGUAUCUGUCACGACACCCUGAACCACAUAACGAAGCAGAACAUCUGGGCUUUGAGGUAAAUCACAGGUCGCUCUCCAGCACCGCUGCCCACGGACAAACAGGGAAUGAAUCAAAGUUCUUUUCUAGAUGCGGCAGAAGUGUUGACUUGCGUGGUGCAUGUUUUUUAGAUGUAAAAUCAUUAGGGCGUCCCCAGCAAGGGAACAGAGGAUCAGAGGGGUGACAGAGCUGCUGGAACCAUCCACCUGUUGUGAUGCGUGUGUUGUGAUGGGAUCAGCCAAGAGCUCAGUGAACUCCCACACAGGGAUGUAGGAGGGGAGGGGGCGUAUAUGGUGAGAAUAGUAUCAAUGGUUAGAGCCUAUUAGGAUCCCAGAUGUUUCAGGUUAGUGGAUGCAGCUGGACGUGUGCUGUCCAUAUUGAGCUAUAGGAUCAGGAGGACAGGAGUGAUCCGAGGUAAAUGAGCCUGUGUGACCUGUGACUUACCAAACAAUUCACGUUAUCAGAAAUGCCUUUGCUGCAAUACGGGAAACUUGGCUGUGCAACUAUUGCACAGACAUUCAUUUCCGUCCAGUUUAGCACAAAACAGAAUCAUCACUUACUUCUGCAUCAAACAGAUUCCAUUACACAUUUCUUACUUACAAGUGCUUCCUCAAAACAAUGUCACCUUGUGAUUCAGAACAAUGCAGCUCUUCUGAAGAAUCGGACUGACUGACGCACGCUGGAGUUCAGAUUGGCUGCUCAGACAGCGUUUUGAUAAAUGAUUCGGGACAAGUGGCGCCACCUCCGCUGACCCCUCGAAGACCCUUCGAGACAAGGUUCAGUAAAGAGCAGCAGGGCCUUGAGACGUCAACUCGACCAUGUUUGGUUCACUGCAGUAAACUUCCAAUGUCCCAUUCGCCUGUCGGUGAACAGGGAAGGGCCGCGAAUACACAGGAUUAGACAUGUGAGGCAGCAAUAAAGAUAUAAAUGUGUAUUUAGUAGCUGCACUCAGACGAGUGUGUGUGUGUGUGUGUGUGUGUGUAUGUGUGUGUGUGUGUGUGUGUGUGUGUGUGUGUGUGUGUGUGUGUGUGUGUGUGUGUGUGUGUGUGUGUGUGUGUGUGUGUGUGUGUGUGUGUGUGUGUGUGUGUGUGUGUGUGUUUUUCAGCCAUCACUGGCCUAUAUACACUUCAUGAUAUUAGAUUUAAUCAUUUACUUAGAAUGAAAUUGUGUUGAAAGGUCAGCGUUCAGUCAAUGAGUUCAUUUCUAUGUGUUGUUAUUUAGCCAUUACAUACCUGGCCUUUCCUCCUUUAUUUAUGUAUUUUAUAUUUUUUAAUAUAUAUGUCUGUAUUUAUUUUAUACAUUAAAAUGUUUUGCCUGCUUUUUCUUUAGUCUAUUUAUUUUAUUAGUCUAUCUGUUUAUUUUAAGACUAUUUAGAUUAAUUCCUGCUGUGGCUUCUACUAUAAUCCCUUAUGUUUAGAUAGCUACUGUGUGUCACUCUUUUGUUGUGUUUAUGCUGAU